AUUGAACGCUGGCGGCAUGCUUUACACAUGCAAGUCGAACGGUAACAGGCCUUCGGGCGCUGACGAGUGGCGAACGGGUGAGUAAUGCAUCGGAACGUGCCCAGUCGUGGGGGAUAACGCAGCGAAAGCUGUGCUAAUACCGCAUACGAACUGCGGAUGAAAGCGGGGGACCUUCGGGCCUCGCGCGAUUGGAGCGGCCGAUGUCAGAUUAGGUAGUUGGUGGGGUAAAGGCCCACAAAGCAAACGAUCUGUAGCUGGUCUGAGAGGACGACCAGCCAGACUGGGACUGAGACACGGACCAGACUCCUACGGGAGGCAGCAGUGGGGAAUUUUGGACAAUGGGCUCAAGCUUGAUCCAGCAAUGCGGCGUGCAGGAAGAUGGCCUUCGAGUUGUAAACUGCUUUUGUACGGAGCGAAAAGGCUCCCUCUAAUACCCUGGGGUCAUGACGGUACCGUAAGAAUAAGCACCGGCUAACUACGUGCCAGCAGCCGCCGUAACAC
rnacentral:rRNA from 1 species